CCAACGUGGGCAUCCAGUGAGGUGGCUCUUGCAUGGCUCUGCUCAGGUGGCGGAUGGGAGCCUAGCUCCGUAAAGAGCAGUGAGGUAUGGUCCCAUUCCACAACGUUGGACAGCAAGAUUUCCCCCCUGGUGGGGGAGCAUCCUGCAUAUUCCUACAACUUCUCAGUAUUUGUGGUUGCUGAGGAGACAAACCAUGCAGGACACAUAU